GAGAAAGCCAAGUGAAGACAGAGGCCGAGACUGGAGUUAUGCUACCACAAGCCCAGGAACACCAGAAGCCAGUAGGAACUGGAAGAUAGAAAGAAGAAUUCCCCUCUAGAGCCUUUGGAGGGAGUGUGGUCCUGUUCACGCCUUUGUUUCAGAUUUCUGACUUCCAAAACUGUGAGAAAAUAAAUUCCUGUUGUUUUAAGCCACCCAGUUUGUAAUGAUUUUUACAGCAGUCCUAGAAAACAAAUGUAGAUUUCGGUAUCAGAAGUGAUUUGCUGCUGUUAACAGAUACCUAAACAUGAGUUGGUAGAAAUAUAAAUGUUAACGUGCAUCUGGGAAGGUCUCAGAAAUAAAUGAACAUGUUGUUGGACACAAAUUUGAAAAUAGGCUUAGAUUCAAGAUAAUGACUACCCUUAGAACAAAUACUGAUGGCAUCUCACAGUAUUGUGUUUAUUUAAAAACAAGUUGUAUUACAACAUGGAUGAGCCAUGGAAACAUUAUGCUAAGUGAAAGAAACCAGACGCAUAAGACCACUUAUUUUUUAUUUCAUUUAAAUGAAAUAUCUACAAUACGAAAAUUCCUCAAGACAGAACAUAGAUUAGUGAUUAUCAAGGUCUACGUGUAGGGGAAAUGAGGAGUAACUGCGAAUGGAUAUGGG
rnacentral:lncRNA from 1 species